GAUCAGAGAGGUUAAGGAACUGGCGCAAAUUCACACAGCUAGUGAAAGAGGGAGUCUGCACUGACUCCAGAUUCCCCUUCGAGGAACUUAUCCUGCAGGUGCUCUUGCUCUCAUGCAGCAAGAGAGAUGUACAAAGUUGUUUCUCGAAGCACCUUCUGUGAUGGCGAGACAGGAAGCAAGCAGAUAUCCAUCAAAAGAAGGCUGGCUAAAAUCCUCAGAAGAGUAGCCUCCGCCUGCCAUCUCCAGGUUCCUCUCUCCCAUUCUCUCACCAGUCCACUCCACUCAGCCUCUGGCCUCCGCCGUUCCACUGAAACUGCCCCCGUCAUGUCAAGGUCACCAAGGGCCUGCGUGAAGCUAAGUCCACUGGUCACAUCGUCCUCUUGCCUGGCUCUCAGAAGCAUUUGACACCACCCACUGCUCCCACCU